rnacentral:rRNA from 1 species
UACGGGGGGGGCAAGCGUUGUUCGGAAUUACUGGGCGUAAAGGGCUCGUAGGCGGCCAACUAAGUCAGACGUGAAAUCCCUCGGCUUAACCGGGGAACUGCGUCUGAUACUGGACGGCUUGAGUUUGGGAGAGGGAUGCGGAAUUCCAGGUGUAGCGGUGAAAUGCGUAGAUAUCUGGAGGAACACCGGUGGCGAAGGCGGCAUCCUGGACCAACACUGACGCUGAGUGAGCGAAAGCCAGGGGAGCAAACGGG